UACGGAGGGGGCUAGCGUUGUUCGGAAUUACUGGGCGUAAAGCGCACGUAGGCGGCUUUGUAAGUUAGAGGUGAAAGCCCGGGGCUCAACUCCGGAAUUGCCUUUAAGACUGCAUCGCUUGAACGUCGGAGAGGUGAGUGGAAUUCCGAGUGUAGAGGUGAAAUUCGUAGAUAUUCGGAAGAACACCAGUGGCGAAGGCGACUCACUGGACGACUGUUGACGCUGAGGCGCGAAAGCCAGGGGAGCGAACGGG
rnacentral:rRNA from 1 species